rnacentral:rRNA from 1 species
UACGUAGGGGGCAAGCGUUGUCCGGAAUCAUUGGGCGUAAAGCGCGCGUAGGCGGCCCGGUAAGUCCGUUGUGAAAGUCAAAGGCUCAACCUUUGAAAGCCGAUGGAUACUGCCGGGCUAGAGUCCGGAAGAGGCGAGUGGAAUUCCUGGUGUAGCGGUGGAAUGCGCAGAUAUCAGGAGGAACACCGAUAGCGAAGGCAGCUCGCUGGGACGGUACUGACGCUGAGGCGCGAAAGCGUGGGGAGCGAACAGG